rnacentral:rRNA from 1 species
CCUACGGGAGGCAGCAGUGGGGAAUUUUGGACAAUGGGCGCAAGCCUGAUCCAGCAAUGCCGCGUGAGUGAAGAAGGCCUUCGGGUUGUAAAGCUCUUUUGUCAGGGAAGAAACGGUAGUUCCUAAUACGGACUACUAAUGACGGUACCUGAAGAAUAAGCACCGGCUAACUACGUGCCAGCAGCCGCGGUAAUACGUAGGGUGCAAGCGUUAAUCGGAAUUACUGGGCGUAAAGCGUGCGCAGGCGGUUAUAUAAGUCAGAUGUGAAAUCCCCGGGCUCAACCUGGGAACUGCAUUUGAGACUGUAUGGCUAGAGUGUGUCAGAGGGGGGUAGAAUUCCACGUGUAGCAGUGAAAUGCGUAGAUAUGUGGAGGAAUACCGAUGGCGAAGGCAGCCCCCUGGGAUAACACUGACGCUCAUGCACGAAAGCGUGGGGAGCAAACAGGAUUAGAUACCCUGGUAGUCCACGCCCUAAACGAUGUCUACUAGUUGUCGGGACUUAAUUGUCUUGGUAACGCAGCUAACGCGUGAAGUAGACCGCCUGGGGGAGGUACGGUCGCGAGAAGUAAACUAACAAANAGAAGUUAGUACGGCGUGAGACGUAGCCGAACGGACGACGACGAGGGGAGGUUAGGG